rnacentral:rRNA from 1 species
CCAGACUCCUACGGGAGGCAGCAGUAGGGAAUCUUCGGCAAUGGACGAAAGUCUGACCGAGCAACGCCGCGUGAGUGAAGAAGGUUUUCGGAUCGUAAGACUCUGUUGGUAGAGAAGAACGUUGGUGAGAGUGGAAAGCUCAUCAAGUGACGGUAACUACCCAGAAAGGGACGGCUAACUACGUGCCAGCAGCCGCGGUAAUACGUAGGUCCCGAGCGUUGUCCGGAUUUAUUGGGCGUAAAGCGAGCGCAGGUGGUUUAUUAAGUCUGGUGUAAAAGGCAGUGGCUCAACCAUUGUAUGCAUUGGAAACUGGUAGACUUGAGUGCAGGAGAGGAGGGUGGAAUUCCAUGUGUAGCGGUGAAGUGCGUAGAUAUAUGGAGGAACACCGGUGGCGAAAGCGGCUCUCUGGCCUGUAACUGACACUGAGGCUCGAAAGCGUGGGGAGCAAACAGGAUUAGAUACCCUGGUGGUCCACGCCGUAAACGAUGAGUGCUAGAUGUAGGGAGCUAUAAGUUCUCUGUAUCGCAGCUAACGCAAUAAGCACUCCGCCUGGGGAGUACGACCGCAAGGUUGAAACUCAAAGGAAUUGACGGGGGCCCGCACAAG